GCAACAUAGCGCUAUUCGUCUCUACCAACACUAAUUUUAAAAAAUUAGCUGGACAGGGCAGCACAUACCUUCAGUCCCAGCUACUCAGGAGGCUGAGGCAGGAGGAUCAUUUGAGCCCAGGAGUUCAAGGUUAUGGUGAACUAUGAUUGCACCACUGCACUUCAUUCUGAGCAAUAGAGCAAGACACUGUCUCUAAUAUGUGUGUGUGUGUAUACAUGCACACAAACAUAUAUUAAUAUAUGUGUAACUGUUAUAUAUAAUUACCAUUUAUAAAUAUAAACUUAAGGACAGAGCAGUGAGGUAGAAGGCACGAGAUUGUAGAGUUAGCAAGUGGCAGGAUCAAAAUUAUUAACACACCCUUAACUAAAACGUCAUUCAGGAAAGUUAGUGUCCUUGGUUCAACUCUACCCUGCUUUGGAACUGGGUGUGUACUCUUGAUAAUUGCUCAGUGUCAAUGAACUUCCAUUUCUUUGUCUGUCACAUGAUUUGCAUAACAAUAACUUCCUUACCCUUCUCACACUGUUGCUUUAAUGAUGAAAUCUAUCACAAUUACAGUCUCAUAAAAAAAUUAGAACAGAAGUAUACACGUGGACAGCACAGUGAGGUAAGAAGCACUGCAGACCUGAGGCGGGAAGAUGGGUUAAGAUGAGAGAGUAUAAAACUAGGGUUCUACACAAUGAGCUCCUGGUCUGCGGAGCUUCUGGACGUGAUUUGCUGAUAAAGGCUUCACUUCAGAGAUGAAGAAGCAGCAGCCAGAGGAAGAAAGUAAAGGCAGCUAUAUACGGAAAGGUGGGUUUUUAUUUGUUUGUUUAUGUUUGGGAGACAUUAAAAAAUCAUUUAAUUGUCACUAAUGCUCAUGCAAAUAACAUUGUUUUUCCAGUAUUUGUAAGGAUUUUUCAGUUCUUGAUCUUUCCUACUAUGGAAGAAUUUCACUAUUCUUGAAAUGCUAUUAAUAAAAAGUUGAAAAAUAAUAAGUAUAACACUAAUACUUAUUAAAUAACUACUCUGAGGUCCCCACAUGUGUUCAAGUAUUUAGUCCUCGCCAUAGCCCUAACAGUGAGUCACGAGUUAUUACCAUUGCCCUUCCAAAGACAAGAAACCUGAAGCACACAGUGCUGGAGUAACUUUCCUUAAGCCACCUGCUAGGUUGGGGAACAACCAGGAUAGGAACAUAAAUGCUCUCUCUCCAAGUCUACUUACAUCAUACUGCCUUUUAAUGUUCUUUAUGUUAGUAAAGUGUUAAGAGCUUGGGCAUGGAGUCAAGCACAGGGGUUCAAAUUCCAUUGCUUCUUAAAAGCAUAACCUUCAGCAGGUUACUUCCACUGUUUAAUCAUCACACAACCACCCAUUUGCAUAAAUUGAGCUAUGUUCCUUCUGGUUUGAAUUGUUCUUUUUGUUAUUGUUGUUUCCAUUGUGCCAUAGUACUUUUGGAGAAUUAACCCUUCUCGCCUUCAUUUUCAUUUUCAUAAAAAUAUUUUUGCAAUGAUUUAUAUAACCACGUAUUGUUUGAUCAGUUGACUAGACUCAGUGAAACAUUUAUGUAAGUGAGAAACGUAGAUUUGACUAUGUCAAUACGGUCAGCCUUGCCACCCAAAAAGAGACAAAUGUGAUAAGAGAAAUAGUGGAUAAAUUACAUGACAUUUUCUAACAAAAUCCUUUAUGUGGAUGCUCUGAGUUUUUACCUAAUACAAAAGGAUUCGAAUACCUUUUGGCAGUUGGAUUAAGAGACAGUUUCUUGGAUUGGGGAUCUAAAGAUUAAGCUUUACCAGGGGUAACAAUAGCUUUAUUCAAAUAGUAGUCUCGGCUUCUGGUGAUGGGGUGAGAAUAUAAUAAGUAAAUUUUACAGAAGUGAAUAAAUUGGUUUUCCUUUUAGGAAAAGGUGUCAAAUACUUGUCAAAGGGCAAGGAAGAUUACUGGUUAUUCUCUCAGAGGGGUGGGGCCCCCCUGGGGGAUUAGCUGAUUCUGUAGGGUAAACACCUUUGAUUAUCUUUCUUAUUGACUCAUCUAUAAUAUGUAGCUCUAUAGUGAGUAGAAGUUUAGUUGAAGAAAACAAUAUCAUACAAAUGAUUACUGUCUAUAACAAUAAAAAUGAGCAUAGUCCUGAAACAAUAUAAAUGAUUAUCCAAUCUGUAGAAAAAAUGAUGCCAAACAUUGUAUUUUAUUACCUUAUGGGAUUUUAGCCAGUCUUUCAUCUAUUAUUACAUUUAUUUUAGCAUCCCUGAUUGCCUGAUAAUACUUUUGUCUUUCAGAUUAACCUUUAAGCCUAAUUUUAGCAUCUUACUGGUUCUCCCAUUAAUUAAUAUAUCAUAAUCUGUGACAGAUUAUCAUUUUAUAUUUGUUUGAGUCAUGACUUAACCUUCUUGUAAAUUAUACUUUAGAAUUGUAUACAAUGGUUUUAAAUGUGUUUGGUUAUUUUUGAGUAACAUUUAUUUAUCCAACAGGUAUUUAUUGAGUGCCAACUUUGUCCCAGAAAGUGUAGAAGACACUGGGGAUUCAAUCGUGAAGAAGACAGAAAAUAUCCUACCCUUAAUGGAUGUCAUAGUCUAGUGCAGAUGACAGGCACUGAAAUUAAAUAUAUAUUUAUUUUAUAUUUUAUUUUAAUAUAUGUUUAAUAUUUUAAUCAAACAUAUAUAGUAUACACACAUAUAUAUAGUAUACACACACAUACACACACAUAUAUAAUAUUCUGGUACAUGUCAGAAAGGAAACAGAUACUGACUUUUGAGAGCAAAUCAUAGAAGAAUAGGAC
rnacentral:lncRNA from 1 species